rnacentral:rRNA from 1 species
AGUGAACGCUGGCGGUAGGCCUAACACAUGCAAGUCGAACGGCAGCACAGUAAGAGCUUGCUCUUACGGGUGGCGAGUGGCGGACGGGUGAGGAAUACAUCGGAAUCUACUUUUUCGUGGGGGAUAACGUAGGGAAACUUACGCUAAUACCGCAUACGACCUACGGGUGAAAGCAGGGGAUCUUCGGACCUUGCGCGAUUGAAUGAGCCGAUGUCGGAUUAGCUGGUUGGCGGGGUAAAGGCCCACCAAGGCGACGAUCCGUAGCUGGUCUGAGAGGAGGAUCAGCCACACUGGAACUGAGACACGGUCCAGACUCCUACGGGAGGCAGCAGUGGGGAAUAUUGGACAAUGGGCGCAAGCCUGAUCCAGCCAUACCGCGUGGGUGAAGAAGGCCUUCGGGUUGUAAAGCCCUUUUGUUGGGAAAGAAAAGCAGCAGGUUAAUACCCCGCUGUUCUGACGGUACCCAAAGAAUAAGCACCGGCUAACUUCGUG